UGCUCUGUGGGAUCAGUGGCGAACGGGUGAGUAACACGUGAGCAACCUACCCCUGACUCUGGGAUAAGCGCUGGAAACGGCGUCUAAUACUGGAUACGAGUGGCGACCGCAUGGUCAGCUACUGGAAAGAUUUAUUGGUUGGGGAUGGGCUCGCGGCCUAUCAGCUUGUUGGUGAGGUAAUGGCUCACCAAGGCGUCGACGGGUAGCCGGCCUGAGAGGGUGACCGGCCACACUGGGACUGAGACACGGCCCAGACUCCUACGGGAGGCAGCAGUGGGGAAUAUUGCACAAUGGGCGCAAGCCUGAUGCAGCAACGCCGCGUGAGGGAUGACGGCCUUCGGGUUGUAAACCUCUUUUAGCAGGGAAGAAGCGAAAGUGACGGUACCUGCAGAAAAAGCGCCGGCUAACUACGUGCCAGCAGCCGCGGUAAUACGUAGGGCGCAAGCGUUAUCCGGAAUUAUUGGGCGUAAAGAGCUCGUAGGCGGUUUGUCGCGUCUGCUGUGAAAUCCGGAGGCUCAACCUCCGGCCUGCAGUGGGUACGGGCAGACUAGAGUGCGGUAGGGGAGAUUGGAAUUCCUGGUGUAGCGGUGGAAUGCGCAGAUAUCAGGAGGAACACCGAUGGCGAAGGCAGAUCUCUGGGCCGUAACUGACGCUGAGGAGCGAAAGGGUGGGGAGCAAACAGGCUUAGAUACCCUGGUAGUCCACCCCGUAAACGUUGGGAACUAGUUGUGGGGUCCAUUCCACGGAUUCCGUGACGCAGCUAACGCAUUAAGU
rnacentral:rRNA from 1 species